rnacentral:rRNA from 1 species
GAUCCUGGCUCAGGAUGAACGCUAGCUACAGGCUUAACACAUGCAAGUCGAGGGGAAACGACAUCGAAAGCUUGCUUUUGAUGGGCGUCGACCGGCGCACGGGUGAGUAACGCGUAUCCAAUCUGCCCACCACUUGGGGAUAACCUUGCGAAAGUAAGACUAAUACCCAAUGAUAUCUCUAGAAGACAUCUGAAAGAGAUUAAAGAUUUAUCGGUGAUGGAUGGGGAUGCGU